rnacentral:rRNA from 1 species
UGUCUCCACCCGAGACUCAGUGAAAUUGAACUCGCUGUGAAGAUGCAGUGUACCCGCGGCAAGACGGAAAGACCCCGUGAACCUUUACUAUAGCUUGACACUGAACAUUGAGCCUUGAUGUGUAGGAUAGGUGGGAGGCUUUGAAGCGUGGACGCCAGUCUGCGUGGAGCCGACCUUGAAAUACCACCCUUUAAUGUUUGAUGUUCUAACGUGGACCCGUAAUCCGGGUUGCGGACAGUGUCUGGUGGGUAGUUUGACUGGGGCGGUCUCCUCCUAAAGAGUAACGGAGGAGCACGAAGGUUGGCUAAUCCUGGUCGGACAUCAGGAGGUUAGUGCAAUGGCAUAAGCCAGCUUGACUGCGAGCGUGACGGCGCGAGCAGGUGCGAAAGCAGGUCAUAGUGAUCCGGUGGUUCUGAAUGGAAGGGCCAUCGCUCAACGGAUAAAAGGUACUCCGGGGAUAACAGGCUGAUACCGCCCAAGAGUUCAUAUCGACGGCGGUGUUUGGCACCUCGAUGUCGGCUCAUCACAUCCUGGGGCUGAAGUAGGUCCCAAGGGUAUGGCUGUUCGCCAUUUAAAGUGGUACGCGAGCUGGGUUUAGAACGUCGUGAGACAGUUCGGUCCCUAUCUGCCGUGGGCGCUGGAGAACUGAGGGGGGCUGCUCCUAGUACGAGAGGACCGGAGUGGACGCAUCACUGGUGUUCGGGUUGUCAUGCCAAUGGCACUGCCCGGUAGCUAAAUGCGGAAGAGAUAAGUGCUGAAAGCAUCUAAGCACGAAACUUGCCCCGA